rnacentral:rRNA from 1 species
AUUGAACGCUGGCGGCCGGCCUAACACAUGCAAGUCGAGCGAGCGGCGGACGGGGGAGUAAUGUCUGGGACACUGCCUGAUGGAGGGGGAUAACGCCUGGAAACGGUAGCUAAUACCGCAUAGCAUCAGAUGGGCCCAGCUGGGGUGAGCUAGUAGGUGGGGUAAUGGCGCACCUUGGCGACGAUCCCGAGCUGGUCUGAGAGGAUGACCAGCCUCACUGGAACUGAGACUCUGUCCAUCUUCCUACGGGCGGCCGCGGUGCGGAAUAUUGCACAAUGGGCGCAAUCCUGAGGCAGCCAUGCCGCGUGUAUGACGAGGGCCUUCGGGUUGUUAAGUACUUUCAGCGAUUAGGCGUUACUCGCAUAAGAAGCCCCGGCUAACUCCGUGCCAGCAGCCGCGGUAAUUC